ACACAUGCAGUCGAACGGUGAAGCAGGAGCUUGCUCUUGUGGAUCAGUGGCGAACGGGUGAGUAACACGUGAGUAACCUGCCCUUGACUCUGGGAUAAGCGUUGGAAACGACGUCUAAUACCGGAUACGAGCUGAGACCGCAUGGUCAUCAGUUGGAAAGAAUUUUGGUCAAGGAUGGACUCGCGGCCUAUCAGCUUGUUGGUGAGGUAAUGGCUCACCAAGGCGACGACGGGUAGCCGGCCUGAGAGGGUGACCGGCCACACUGGGACUGAGACACGGCCCAGACUCCUACGGGAGGCAGCAGUGGGGAAUAUUGCACAAUGGGCGCAAGCCUGAUGCAGCAACGCCGCGUGAGGGAUGACGGCCUUCGGGUUGUAAACCUCUUUUAGUAGGGAAGAAGCGAAAGUGACGGUACCUGCAGAAAAAGCACCGGCUAACUACGUGCCAGCAGCCGCGGUAAUACGUAGGGUGCAAGCGUUGUCCGGAAUUAUUGGGCGUAAAGAGCUCGUAGGCGGUUUGUCGCGUCUGCUGUGAAAACUGGAGGCUCAACCUCCAGCCUGCAGUGGGUACGGGCAGACUAGAGUGCGGUAGGGGAGAUUGGAAUUCCUGGUGUAGCGGUGGAAUGCGCAGAUAUCAGGAGGAACACCGAUGGCGAAGGCAGAUCUCUGGGCCGUAACUGACGCUGAGGAGCGAAAGCGUGGGGAGCGAACAGGAUUAGAUACCCUGGUAGUCCACGCCGU
rnacentral:rRNA from 1 species